rnacentral:rRNA from 1 species
GACGAACGCUGGCGGCGUGCUUAACACAUGCAAGUCGAACGGAAAGGCCCUGCUUUUGUGGGGUGCUCGAGUGGCGAACGGGUGAGUAACACGUGAGUAACCUGCCCUUGACUUUGGGAUAACUUCAGGAAACUGGGGCUAAUACCGGAUAGGAGCUCCUGCUGCAUGGUGGGGGUUGGAAAGUUUCGGCGGUUGGGGAUGGACUCGCGGCUUAUCAGCUUGUUGGUGGGGUAGUGGCUUACCAAGGCUUUGACGGGUAGCCGGCCUGAGAGGGUGACCGGCCACAUGGGGACUGAGAUACGGCCAAGACUCCUACGGGAGGCAGCAGUGGGGAAUAUUGCACAAUGGGCGGAAGCCUGAUGCAGCAACGCCGCGUGCGGGAUGACGGCCUUCGGGUUGUAAACCGCUUUCGCCUGUGACGAAGCGUGAGUGACGGUAAUGGGUAAAGAAGCACCGGCUAACUACGU